UACAGAGGUCUCAAGCGUUGUUCGGAUUCAUUGGGCGUAAAGGGUGUGUAGGUGGCGCUGUAAGUCGGGUGUGAAAUUUCGGAGCUUAACUCCGAAACUGCAUUCGAUACUGCCGUGCUUGAGGACUGGAGAGGAGACUGGAAUUUACGGUGUAGCGGUGAAAUGCGUAGAUAUCGUAAGGAAGACCAGUGGCGAAGGCGGGUCUCUGGACAGUUCCUGACGCUGAAGCACGAAGGCCAGGGGAGCAAACGGG
rnacentral:rRNA from 1 species